rnacentral:rRNA from 1 species
GUGGGGAAUCUUCCGCAAUGGACGAAAGUCUGACGGAGCAACGCCGCGUGAGUGAUGAAGGUCUUCGGAUUGUAAAGCUCUGUUAAUCGGGACGAAAGAGCCUAGUGUGAAUAAUGCUAGGAAGUGACGGUACCGGAAUAGAAAGCCACGGCUAACUACGUGCCAGCAACCGCGGUAAUACGUAGGUGGCAAGCGUUGUCCGGAAGUAUUGGGCGUAAAGCGCGCGCAGGCGGAACUGCCAGUCCAGCUUAAAAGUUCGGGGCUUAACCCCGUGAUGGGAUGGAAACUACAGAUCUAGAGUAUCGGAGAGGAAAGUGGAAUUCCUAGUGUAGCGGUGAAAUGCGUAGAUAUUAGGAAGAACACCAGUGGCGAAGGCGACUUUCUGGACGAAAACUGACGCUGAGGCGCGAAAGCCAGGGGAGCGAACGGGAUUAGAAACCCUAGUAGUCC